UGCCAAAGAAGCAUAUGGCCAUCGGCUCCACAGCUGCGAGAAAGAUUAUGCACACAACGACAUGCGCUCAGGAGGGGACCUCGCGCCUCGGUUGAGAUCCCAGCCCUGGCUGACACCUUGAGUGCAGCCUGUGAGACCCUGAGCAGAGGUUCAGCAGUCCCCUCCCCGGACUCCUGCCACACAGAAGCCAUGAGCUGACAGAACCAAGGACACACACCUUGUUAACGACGCCCUCAAGGCUGUGAGGAGAAAGACAACCGGGUGAAGCAACGCUGGGAAUUCAACGCAUCAAUUACCUUCCCAGGUAACAGCAGCUACUUGAGCUCCUAAGAGUUGACCUUCAGCUGCUGUCAUGGAAAAUAGUGGGGGUCAACUAGACAUCAAAGAUGAAAGGCCAGGCCUCCAGCACAACUUUCUCUGUAAGCUCGAUAGUGGCUUUCUCAAAGAAAUCCUUUUCUCAAAAAAAUUUCUUGUAAAGACAGGGUCUUGUUCUGUCACCCAGGCUGGACUGCAGUGCAUGGCUCACUGCAGCCUCAACCUCCCGGGCUAGAGUGAUCCUCCCCUUUUCUGAGGAGCUCAGACCACAAGCGUGCACCACUGUGCCCAGCUGAUUUAUAAACUUUUUUUUUAGAGACAGGGUUUCACCAUGUUGGCCAGGCUGUUUUCUUUCAAGGUUUCACCAUGUUGGCCAGGCUGUUUUCUUUUCUUCUCUUUUUUUGAGAUGGAGUUUCACUCUUGUUGCCCAGGCUGGAGGGC
rnacentral:lncRNA from 1 species